CAGGGGCACCAGUGAUGUCAUCAGAGAUGGUGACGUCACUGGGGCUGCUGUGAUGUCAUCGGGGAUGGUGACAUCACCGGGGACGCUGUGAUGUCAUCGGGGACAAC